rnacentral:piRNA from 1 species
UGAUGCUAAAACUGGAAUGUCCCAUUAGU